rnacentral:rRNA from 1 species
ACGCACGCUGGCGGCGUGCCUAAUACCUGCCCGUAGAACGCUGAAGGAGGAGCUUGCUCCUCUGGAUGAGUUGCGAACGGGUGAGUAACGCGUAGGUAACCUGCCUGGUAGCGGGGGAUAACUAUUUGAAACGAUAGCUAAUACCGCAUAAGAGUAGAUGUUGCAUGACAUUUGCUUAAAAGGUGCAAUUGCAUCACUACCAGAUGGACCUGCGUUGUAUUAGCUAGUUGGUGAGGUAACGGCUCACCAAGGCAACGAUACAUAGCCGACCUGAGAGGGUGAUCGGCCACACUGGGACUGAGACACGGCCCAGACUCCUACGGGAGGCAGCAGUAGGGAAUCUUCGGCAAUGGACGGAAGUCUGACCGAGCAACGCCGCGUGAGUGAAGAAGGGUUUCGGAUCGUAAAGCUCUGUUGUAAGAGAAGAACGAGUGUGAGAGUGGAAAGUUCACACUGUGACGGUAUCUUACCAGAAAGGGACGGCUAACUACGUG